CCUACGGGGAGCAGCAGUGGGGGAUAUUGCACAAUGGGGGGAACCCUGAUGCAGCGACGCCGCGUGGGUGAAGGAGCGUUUCGGCGCGUAAAGCCCUAUCGGCAGGGAAGAAGGAGGACGGUACCUGACUAAGACGCCCCGGCUCACUACGUGCAAGCAGCCGCGGCACUACGUAGGGGGCAAGCGUUAUCCGGAUUUACUGGGUGUAAAGGGGGCGCAGGCGGCAGUGCAAGCUAGGAGUGAAAGCCCGGGGUCCAACCCCGGGACUGCUCUUGGAACUGCGCGGCUGGAGUGCGGGAGGGGCAGGCGGAAUUCCUGGUGUAGCGGUGAAAUGCGUAGAUAUCAGGAGGAACACCGAUGGCGAAGGCAGCCUGCUGGACUGCGACUGACGUUGAGGCCCGAAAGCGUGGGGAGCAAACAGGAUUAGAUACCCGGGUAGUC
rnacentral:rRNA from 1 species